UAGCGUAGGGGGCAAGCGUUGUCCGGAAUCAUUGGGCGUAAAGAGCGUGUAGGCGGCCUGGUGAGUCCGCUGUGAAAGUCCAGGGCUCAACCCUGGAAUGCCGGUGGAAACUGUCAGGCUCGAGUCCGGAAGAGGCGAGUGGAAUUCCUGGUGUAGCGGUGAAAUGCGCAGAUAUCAGGAGGAACACCAAUGGCGAAGGCAGCUCGCUGGGACGGUACUGACGCUGAGAACGCGAAAGCGUGGGGAGCAAACAGG
rnacentral:rRNA from 1 species